UCGACUGCUGGUUAGUUGACGUAAAUAAAUAAAUAAAUCAUGGGACAUUUACAUUGGAGCCCUAUCAUAACCUAAGUCAACUUGAGUGUGUAAAUUUACAUUAUCAACCCACUCAAGUUUUGACUGAAUUGCCACUCAUCAGCGAUCGUAACGCUUUCACAUGCUCGUAAGCUUUAACACGUGGGCCCAAAAUGUCUCCACCAGUUAAAACGCAGCAUUUACUUCUUAGACAACAUUGGAAUCAACAGCAAUCUAAUAUUGAAAGUUUAAGAGCUUUAAUCGCUCUUGUAAAUAAACCUAUUAUCUUAGAUUGUCAGUCUCAA